rnacentral:rRNA from 1 species
AUUGAACGCUGGCGGCAGGCCUAACACAUGCAAGUCGAGCGGAUGAAGGGAGCUUGCUCCUGGAUUCAGCGGCGGACGGGUGAGUAAUGCCUAGGAAUCUGCCUGGUAGUGGGGGAUAACGUCCUGAAACGGGCGCUAAUACCGCAUACGUCCUGAUGGAGAAAGUGGGGGAUCUUCGGACCUCACGCUAUCAGAUGAGCCUAGGUCGGAUUAGCUAGUUGGUGGGGUAAAGGCCUACCAAGGCGACGAUCCGUAACUGGUCUGAGAGGAUGAUCAGUCACACUGGAACUGAGACACGGCCCAGACUCCUACGGGAGGCAGCAGUGGGGAAUAUUGGACGAUGGGCGAAAGCCUGAUCCAGCCAUGCCGCGUGUGUGAAGAAGGUCUUCGGAUGGUAAAGCACUUUAAGUUGGGAGGAAGGGAAGUAAGUUAAUACCUUGCUGUUUUGACGUUACCAACAGAAUAAGCACCGGCUAACUUCGUG